AAUUAUUAAAAUGCUAAUUUUACCAUUAACGCGUUUUGCGCAACAAUAAACAUCAUUUUUCUGUGUAAACAAUAUUUAACAUUAUUUGUUUAUUAAUUAUUAUCGCAAAAAUUAAUAACGGAUUUAAUUCUGUUGCUGACGAAAAUAUUGUUUAUUAUAUCAUACUAUAGGCAACCCAACAUGCUCAGUAGAAAGUUUAUUCAAAGUUUCCAAAAAUCAAUUCAGAUUUCGGAAUCUAAGACGCCUGUACCGAAACAAAGAUUUCAGUAUCUAUUGACUUUUUUUCAUUAUACAGUUUAACGCUGAUCACAUCGCACUCCACUCAAUCGUACCUCCCGAAUUCCGUGUAUUUAUUCCCUUAUAAAACGCACCACACAAAUCCGAUCAAUGAAAAUUCAGACCUACCUUCAUGUAAAUCUAUUUUUUUCAAAAUUCCACAAAAAGAUGGCUUACCCGAUCAUGUCUCGGGGCUUCGCCGAUCAGUCCUCCGUUUUGGGUUACAUGGUACGCUAUGAGAAUAAAUUCUGGGGACAAUCGUCGAUACCAAUAUCUCCUGGUAUGACGAUUCAAACAAACACCGCAGUGUGGUACCGCUGUCGCGUAAGGCCACCGAGUGUCUCCGAGCACUGUUCUUCGUGCUCAAGUGGACCUUCCAUCUUGGAUUUGUCCCCUUCGUCAUCUAUUUGGGAUGGACCAAGGGCCCUGAUGAGGGAAGCCCACCUUUUAGUUUUACCAACUUUCUACUGUUCUAUUAAUCUACAUAAAAUUGAAGAGAAGCACUGCAUGCAAAUUAUGCUAAUAAUUCCUGUCUGAGAAACGUCAAAAUUGAUGGUAGUACUACAAUUAGAAACAGUACAGUCAGCGCACACAAGCCACUGAAAAUCCAAUAUGUCGGCGCCGAACCGAUGCCAUCCUCCAGUAACGGAAACACGAAUAAAAUAACAAACGCCACAAUGUUGUUGAUCAGAAUCGAAAUGGUCGACAUGACGUUCUUUGCGUUGUCAGGCAAGAUCUCGCCGAUAACCACAUAGGUGACGGAUCCCACACCAACGGCGAACGCCACAAUGAAUACCAAGAUGGACGCCAAUGGUAACCAAGCUAAUGCACUCACAUCAUAGUCGUUACCCUUUAGGAAAAAGUAGGCACCCAAUGCUGUGAUACUGACAGUGACGAAGAUCUGGCCAAUUGUCAACAGAAUCUUCCGGCCGAACAGAUCGACAAUAUGUGGUAUGACCAACAUGACGACCAGUUGUAACAAUGCCACGUACACUGAAGACAUCUGUGGUGAGAUUCCGGUGUCACUUUCGGUGAAGAUGGUUUCCAUGUAGGAGACGACCGGGUUGAUAAUCGACACUUGGAUGGAUACCAUCAAUGCAAUGGCGAUUAUUAACGCCUUUCGGAGCGCACCCUGAGCAAACAGUUGCUUGUAAUCCAAUUGUUCUUGCUUCACUGCAAUGCACUGCGAGAUUUCCUGGAGCUCGUCUUUUAGUUGUUUAUCGUCAGCGCCGGGUCGUAAUCGAGCCAGUACAGCUUGCGCCCUUUCCAUGUUACCUUUGUCUACGAAAUGGAACGGACUCUCAUCGACAAACAGACCGAUGAGGAUGAAGGCACUGCAGGGGAAUACCAAGUUGAUGUACUGGAAGUUCUCGAAGGAUACACUAGGUCCCACUGCGUAGACAUACACCUGUCCAGUAGCCAGGAAGAUGGCGAAGAAACAUCCGAGCGCACCACGUCGUUCCUUGCUGGCGAUUUCCGCGACGUACACGGGUACCACCUGCAUAAUCGCACCCAGCGUAAGACCGUUGAAUAUACGCGCGAAGUAAAACGCAAUCAGGUCUCCGGCAAGUGCAAACAUCAAAUAACCCAACAUCGUUGGCACUAACAUGAUCAUCAGCGAGAUCUUUCGUCCCAGUUUUUUCACUAUGACCAUCGUAAUUAAAUUCCCAAUCAUGGCUCCGAUGAAGAUGAAUGCUGUCAGCCAUGAUGAUUCCGCCAGUGUGAUUUUCUCAGGCAGUGGAUUCACGUGUGGGUCCUUCGAGCCGUUUAGGUAUGGAAUUGAUGGUGAGGCCCAGGAGAAGGUGAGCCCGGCAAUGAAGGACAUCAAGUUCACUAAAAUUAAAAGCAAAUCGUAAGCAUUUUGGGUUUAACGGCGAAUUUUAUGGAGUCUCACAUAAACAACAUGUUAUAGUAGCGGCGUUAGGCAACAAUCGGCUAAUACACGUUGUUUUAUACAUUGUGACAUGCAUGUGCGACUGACAAACUGGCCCAUUUAUACGACAACCAAAUCGCAAUUAGUGAUUAUUAUCAAUUUAUCGCGGAAUUUCAUGUAACGCACGUUUUGCCGUAGAAGUGGCAUUGUAUUUGUUACGUAUGUAAAAAAAUUUUGGAAAAAAAAAUGUGAAGCUUGUUAAAAUUUGUGCUUGUUCUUAUCAGUGCUUCUAAAUAUCACUUUCCACAGUUUCAAAUACUGUACAAUCUAUAAUAAAAAGAUUUUUCACAGCUAUAUAA